UACGGAGGGUGCAAGCGUUAUCCGGAUUCACUGGGUUUAAAGGGAGCGUAGGAGGGCAGGUAAGUCAGUGGUGAAAUCUUCGAGCUUAACUCGGAAACUGCCGUUGAUACUAUCUGUCUUGAAUACCGUGGAGAUGAGCGGAAUAUGUCAUGUAGCGGUGAAAUGCUUAGAGAUCGGAAAGAACACCAACGGCGAAAGCACUCUGCUGGGCCGACACUGACACUGAGAGACGAAAGCUAGGGGAGCGAAUGGG
rnacentral:rRNA from 1 species